GCCCGGAUGGCGAAAUUGGUAGACGCAAGGGAUUUAAAAUUCCUCGCUGGCGACAGCAUGCCGGUUCGAUCCCGGCUCCGGGCA
rnacentral:tRNA from 3 species